CCUACGGGUGGCAGCAGUGGGGGAUAUUGCACAAUGGGCGAAACCCUGAUGCAGCGACGCCGCGUGAGUGAAGAAGGAUUUCGGUAUGUAAAGCUCUAUCAGCAGGGAAGAAAACAGACGGUACCUGACUACGAAGCCCCGGCUAACCACGUACCAGCAGCCGCGGUAAUACGUAGGGGGCAAGCGUUUUCCGGAUUUACUGGGGGUAAAGGGAGCGUAGGCGGUAAGACAAGUCGGAAGUGAAAUACCCGGGCUCAACCUGGGAACUGCCUUUGAGACUGUAUGGCUGGAGUGCUGGAGAGGAAAGCGGAAUUCCUAGUGUAGCGGUGAAAUGCGUAGAUAUUAGGAGGAACACCAGUGGCGAAGGCGGCUUACUGGACAAUAACUGACGUUGAGGCUCGAAAGCGUGGGGAGCAAACAGGAUUAGAUACCCGUGUAGUC
rnacentral:rRNA from 1 species